rnacentral:rRNA from 1 species
GGAAAGUCGCACGGUACAGGGUGAUAGUCCCGUACACAAAAAUGCAUACGUUGUGAGUUCGAUGAGUAGGGCGGGACACGUGACAUCCUGUCUGAAUAUGGGGGGACCAUCCUCCAAGGCUAAAUACUCCUGACUGACCGAUAGUGAACCAGUACCGUGAGGGAAAGGCGAAAAGAACCCCGGCGAGGGGAGUGAAAUAGAACCUGAAACCGUGUACGUACAAGCAGUGGGAGCACCUUCGUGGUGUGACUGCGUACCUUUUGUAUAAUGGGUCAGCGACUUAUAUUUUGUAGCAAGGUUAACCGAAUAGGGGAGCCGUAGGGAAACCGAGUCUUAACUGGGCGAAUAGUUGCAAGGUAUAGACCCGAAACCCGGUGAUCUAGCCAUGGGCAGGUUGAAGGUUGGGUAACACUAACUGGAGGACCGAACCGACUAAUGUUGAAAAAUUAGCGGAUGACUUGUGGCUGGGGGUGAAAGGCCAAUCAAACCGGGAGAUAGCUGGUUCUCCCCGAAAGCUAUUUAGGUAGCGCCUCGUGAACUCAUCUUCGGGGGUAGAGCACUGUUUCGGCUAGGGGGUCAUCCCGACUUACCAAACCGAUGCAAACUCCGAAUACCGAAGAAUGUUAUCACGGGAGACACACGGCGGGUGCUAACGUCCGUCGUGAAGAGGGAAACAACCCAGACCGCCAGCUAAGGUCCCAAAGUCAUGGUUAAGUGGGAAACGAUGUGGGAAGGCACAGACAGCCAGGAUGUUGGCUUAGAAGCAGCCAUCAUUUAAAGAAAGCGUAAUAGCUCACUGGUCGAGUCGGCCUGCGCGGAAGAUGUAACGGGGCUAAACCAUGCACCGAAGCUGCGGCAGCGAACGUAUCACCCAAGACAAUUCACGGCAGUGGAUAAUGAUUGACGGAGCGCAGCGACGUCAAUGCGUCCAAUAAAGUCGAGUUGGCUUAGGGAUACGUUCGUUGGGUAGGGGAGCGUUCUGUAAGCCGUUGAAGGUGACCUGUGAGGGUUGCUGGAGGUAUCAGAAGUGCGAAUGCUGACAUAAGUAACGAUAAUGCGGGUGAAAAACCCGCACGCCGGAAGACCAAGGGUUCCUGUCCAACGUUAAUCGGGGCAGGGUGAGUCGACCCCUAAGGCGAGGCUGAAAAGCGUAGUCGAUGGGAAACAGGUUAAUAUUCCUGUACUUGGUGUUACUGCGAAGGGGGGACGGAGAAGGCUAGGCUAGCCGGGCGACGGUUGUCCC